ACACAUGCAAGUCGAAGGAGAAGGUAAAAGCUUGCUUUUACUGGAGACUGGCGGACGGGUGAGUAACGCGUAGAUAACCUGCCUUUGCCUGGGGGAUAACACUGCGAAAGUGGUGCUAAUACCGCAUAAUGCAGCGGGGCCGCAUGGUCAUAGUUGUUAAAGGUUUCGGCCGGGUAAAGAUGGGUCUGCGUGCUAUUAGCUAGUUGGUAAGGUAACGG
rnacentral:rRNA from 1 species